CUUCUUUGAGCAUUGCUGACCAGCUCACUGAACCUCUCUCUGACUACAGGAAGUACAGAAGGAAAUGUGAUAAUGAAUGAAAAGCACUUGGUGUAUGGUGGUUGGAUGGGAGGGCUGGUAGCAGUAGAGCUGGUAAUGCUGGUAGUCUCAG
rnacentral:miRNA from 1 species